rnacentral:rRNA from 1 species
AAAACAUAACCUUUAGCCAAACAAAUAUUAAAGGCAACGCCUGCCCAGUGAACAAUUAAACGGCCGCGGUAUCCUAACCGUGCAAAGGUAGCAUAAUCAUUUGUCUACUAAUUAUAGACCUGUAUGAAUGGCAAAAUGAGGGCCUAACUGUCUCUUGUAGUGGGUCAAUUAAACUGAUCUCCCAGUUAAAAAGCUGGAAUACCACCAUAAGACCAGAAGACCCUGUGAAGCUUUAACUAAGUCAUUAAACCAUAUAAUGACUACUUUCGGUUGGGGCGACCUUGGAAAAAAAAAGAACUUCCAACACAGUGGCCUAUGCCACAACCAACUAGGCCAACAUGCCAACACAAGACCCAGCAACGCUGAUAAAUGAACCAAGUUACUCCAGGGAUAACAGCGCAAUCCCCUUCAAGAGUCCAUAUCAAAAGGGGGGUUUACGACCUCGAUGUUGGAUCAGGACAUCCUAAUGGUGCAGCCGCUAUUAAGGGUUCGUUUGUUCAACGAUUAAUAGUCCUACGUGAUCUGAGUU